GGUUCUGAUGUGGUUCUUGUUGAUACUGCUGGUCGGAUGCAGGAUAAUGAACCAUUAAUGAGAGCUCUCUCAAAGCUUAUUUACCUCAACAAUCCAGAUUUGGUCUUGUUUGUUGGAGAGGCAUUGGUUGGAAAUGAUGCAGUUGAUCAACUAUCAAAGUUCAAUCAGAAAUUAGCUGACCUCUCUACUUCACCCAGUCCAAGACUAAUAGAUGGGAUUCUUCUUACCAAGUUUGAUACAAUAGAUGAUAAG
rnacentral:misc_RNA from 1 species